rnacentral:rRNA from 1 species
UGGGGAAUUUUGGACAAUGGGCGCAAGCCUGAUCCAGCAAUGCCGCGUGCAGGAAGAAGGCCUUCGGGUUGUAAACUGCUUUUGUACGGAACGAAAAGGCUCUGGUUAAUACCUGGGGCACAUGACGGUACCGUAAGAAUAAGCACCGGCUAACUACGUG